GGUUAAGCGACUAAGCGUACACGGUGGAUGCCCUGGCAGUCAGAGGCGAUGAAGGACGUGCUAAUCUGCGAUAAGCGUCGGUAAGGUGAUAUGAACCGUUAUAACCGGCGAUUUCCGAAUGGGGAAACCCAGUGUGAUUCGUCACACUAUCAUUAACUGAAUCCAUAGGUUAAUGAGGCGAACCGGGGGAACUGAAACAUCUAAGUACCCCGAGGAAAAGAAAUCAACCGAGAUUCCCCCAGUAGCGGCGAGCGAACGGGGAGCAGCCCAGAGCCUGAAUCAGUGUGUGUGUUAGUGGAAGCGUCUGGAAAGGCGCGCGAUACAGGGUGACAGCCCCGUACACAAAAAUGCACAUGCUGUGAGCUCGAUGAGUAGGGCGGGACACGUGGUAUCCUGUCUGAAUAUGGGGGGACCAUCCUCCAAGGCUAAAUACUCCUGACUGACCGAUAGUGAACCAGUACCGUGAGGGAAAGGCGAAAAGAACCCCGGCGAGGGGAGUGAAAAAGAACCUGAAACCGUGUACGUACAAGCAGUGGGAGCACAGAGCAAUCUGUGUGACUGCGUACCUUUUGUAUAAUGGGUCAGCGACUUAUAUUCUGUAGCAAGGUUAACCGAAUAGGGGAGCCGAAGGGAAACCGAGUCUUAACUGGGCGUUAAGUUGCAGGGUAUAGACCCGAAACCCGGUGAUCUAGCCAUGGGCAGGUUGAAGGUUGGGUAACACUAACUGGAGGACCGAACCGACUAAUGUUGAAAAAUUAGCGGAUGACUUGUGGCUGGGGGUGAAAGGCCAAUCAAACCGGGAGAUAGCUGGUUCUCCCCGAAAGCUAUUUAGGUAGCGCCUCGUGAAUUCAUCUCCGGGGGUAGAGCACUGUUUCGGCAAGGGGGUCAUCCCGACUUACCAACCCGAUGCAAACUGCGAAUACCGGAGAAUGUUAUCACGGGAGACACACGGCGGGUGCUAACGUCCGUCGUGAAGAGGGAAACAACCCAGACCGCCAGCUAAGGUCCCAAAGUCAUGGUUAAGUGGGAAACGAUGUGGGAAGGCCCAGACAGCCAGGAUGUUGGCUUAGAAGCAGCCAUCAUUUAAAGAAAGCGUAAUAGCUCACUGGUCGAGUCGGCCUGCGCGGAAGAUGUAACGGGGCUAAACCAUGCACCGAAGCUGCGGCAGCGACACUAUGUGUUGUUGGGUAGGGGAGCGUUCUGUAAGCCUGUGAAGGUGUACUGUGAGGUAUGCUGGAGGUAUCAGAAGUGCGAAUGCUGACAUAAGUAACGAUAAAGCGGGUGAAAAGCCCGCUCGCCGGAAGACCAAGGGUUCCUGUCCAACGUUAAUCGGGGCAGGGUGAGUCGACCCCUAAGGCGAGGCCGAAAGGCGUAGUCGAUGGGAAACAGGUUAAUAUUCCUGUACUUGGUGUUACUGCGAAGGGGGGACGGAGAAGGCUAUGUUGGCCGGGCGACGGUUGUCCCGGUUUAAGCGUGUAGGCUGGUUUUCCAGGCAAAUCCGGAAAAUCAAGGCUGAGGCGUGAUGACGAGGCACUACGGUGCUGAAGCAACAAAUGCCCUGCUUCCAGGAAAAGCCUCUAAGCAUCAGGUAACAUCAAAUCGUACCCCAAACCGACACAGGUGGUCAGGUAGAGAAUACCAAGGCGCUUGAGAGAACUCGGGUGAAGGAACUAGGCAAAAUGGUGCCGUAACUUCGGGAGAAGGCACGCUGAUAUGUAGGUGAAGUCCCUCGCGGAUGGAGCUGAAAUCAGUCGAAGAUACCAGCUGGCUGCAACUGUUUAUUAAAAACACAGCACUGUGCAAACACGAAAGUGGACGUAUACGGUGUGACGCCUGCCCGGUGCCGGAAGGUUAAUUGAUGGGGUUAGCGCAAGCGAAGCUCUUGAUCGAAGCCCCGGUAAACGGCGGCCGUAACUAUAACGGUCCUAAGGUAGCGAAAUUCCUUGUCGGGUAAGUUCCGACCUGCACGAAUGGCGUAAUGAUGGCCAGGCUGUCUCCACCCGAGACUCAGUGAAAUUGAACUCGCUGUGAAGAUGCAGUGUACCCGCGGCAAGACGGAAAGACCCCGUGAACCUUUACUAUAGCUUGACACUGAACAUUGAGCCUUGAUGUGUAGGAUAGGUGGGAGGCUUUGAAGUGUGGACGCCAGUCUGCAUGGAGCCGACCUUGAAAUACCACCCUUUAAUGUUUGAUGUUCUAACGUUGACCCGUAAUCCGGGUUGCGGACAGUGUCUGGUGGGUAGUUUGACUGGGGCGGUCUCCUCCUAAAGAGUAACGGAGGAGCACGAAGGUUGGCUAAUCCUGGUCGGACAUCAGGAGGUUAGUGCAAUGGCAUAAGCCAGCUUGACUGCGAGCGUGACGGCGCGAGCAGGUGCGAAAGCAGGUCAUAGUGAUCCGGUGGUUCUGAAUGGAAGGGCCAUCGCUCAACGGAUAAAAGGUACUCCGGGGAUAACAGGCUGAUACCGCCCAAGAGUUCAUAUCGACGGCGGUGUUUGGCACCUCGAUGUCGGCUCAUCACAUCCUGGGGCUGAAGUAGGUCCCAAGGGUAUGGCUGUUCGCCAUUUAAAGUGGUACGCGAGCUGGGUUUAGAACGUCGUGAGACAGUUCGGUCCCUAUCUGCCGUGGGCGCUGGAGAACUGAGGGGGGCUGCUCCUAGUACGAGAGGACCGGAGUGGACGCAUCACUGGUGUUCGGGUUGUCAUGCCAAUGGCACUGCCCGGUAGCUAAAUGCGGAAGAGAUAAGUGCUGAAAGCAUCUAAGCACGAAACUUGCCCCGAGAUGAGUUCUCCCUGACUCCUUGAGAGUCCUGAAGGAACGUUGAAGACGACGACGUUGAUAGGCCGGAUGUGUAAGCGCAGCGAUGCGUUGAGCUAACCGGUACUAAUGAACCGUGAGGCUUAACCUU
rnacentral:rRNA from 1 species